rnacentral:lncRNA from 1 species
CUCAGUUUCUGAUUAUGCGCAGAGUUUCCUUGUUCUGAGCUUAUGUUCUCCACCCACUACUUAGUAAGAACUCCUUAACAACUUAAAGCUUUAUCCCUGUGAGUACCAGAAAAGCGAUUUGAGUAUUUAUUGAGCAGGGAGAACAAACUGCUUGCUCCAGGCAGGGCGAAAGCUUAUGGAAAUGAUAUUAGACCUUCAGCAAAGUGCACAGCUGCAUCAUACAGAGGCUGAGACUCAAACUGACAGGCAAAUAAGCCAGAUCACGGAAGGGGCCUCUGUGUGGCAGCUCUGAGCUACCAAGUGUUGGACAACUAGGCAAAAGUGCAAUGGAACAGGGCAGAAAAUAACACACUAACUUCAGGCAACUGUUGCUUUUUCAUGGCUUGGAAAGUACUAUUUUCUGUAGAUGGUAGCAUCUGUCUGGUGUGAUGCCCCAUUCUUCUUGUGAUGCCACAUGCAGCACUGAGAAGUCCUGGCAAAUGGAAGAGGUAUCUUGCAAUAAGGUGUACAGCUGCCUUUCCGUUUUGCAGCAGGACCCUGUUUGCUGCUUCACAAGCCGCAG